GCGGUCCAUGCAAAAGUUUAAAUUAUUCAUUUAAACUGCAUGGACCACGUAUGGUUGAGUGUCGU
rnacentral:rRNA from 1 species